AUACAUGAGGGCGAUCUGGCUACAACAUUUGUCACCCACUGAUCAUCAGGGUUGAUUCAGCGGAUCUGCCUGGCGAGGGAGGUAUCCCCUUCCUCUCUCCUUGCUAGGUGUACAAUCCUCCCGAGAAGCUUCACACUUGGUCGGCCUUCCCCAGUAGAGGAGGGCAUGUCCCUGGUCAAAGGUACACAAGUAGCUGCACUUCCCUGCUAGAACCUCCAAACAAGCUCUCAAAUAACAGGCUAUCAUUUUACCGUAUGGUUUAAAUUUUUCUCCAAUGAACUCUUUACUAAAACUUUUAAUACAAUGAGUUUC
rnacentral:snRNA from 1 species